rnacentral:lncRNA from 1 species
AUUAUAAGCUUGCAUCAGGUCUGUUUUUGGCAUUUCUUGGAAAUGAAGUAAUUCACUGCAGGCUUGUCAAGAAUUGGUCUUGGGGCCGGGCGCGGUGGCUGAUGCCUCUAAUCCCAGCACUUUGGGAGGCCGAGGCAGGUGGAUCACCUGAGGUCAGGAGUUCGAGAUCAGCCCGGCCAACAUGGCAAAACCUCAUCUCUACUAAAAAAUACAAAAAUUAGCAGGCGUGAUGGCGUGCACUUGUAAUUCCAGCUACUUGGGAGGCUGAAGCAGAAGAAUUGCUUGAACUCAGAAGGCAGAAGUUGCAGUGAGCCAAGAUUGCACCACUGGACUCCAGCCUGGGCAACAGAA